rnacentral:antisense_RNA from 1 species
GUAAGCGUGCAGGGUGCGUUUACACAGCUCCGAACGCACGCAGUCCUCUUUACCAAAUUCUAUGAUGCCGACCAUCUCGUCUUCUUCGAAGCGGGACAUCGCAUCGCUGAGACCCGAUACCACGCCACGCGGUAAAUCGCACUGCGUAAUAUCACCGUUAACAAUCACCGUCACAUUUUCACCCAGACGGGU